rnacentral:tRNA from 1 species
GCCGCUAUAGCUCAGUGGUAGAGCACUGGUCUCGUAAACCAGGGGUCGUGAGUUUGUACCUCACUGGCGGCA